UUUCCGUAGGUGAACCUGCGGAAGGAUCAUUCAUAAUAAAGUGUUUUAUGGCACUUUUUAAAAACCCAUACCCACCUUGUGUGCAAUGUUAGAUCUCGUCAAUCUUGGCGAGAUUUUUAUACAUCAACUCAUUCUUUAACUAAUUUGUCUGAAAAAUAUUAUGAAUACUUAAUUCAAAAUACGACUUUCAACAACGGAUCUCUUGGCUCUC
rnacentral:misc_RNA from 1 species